rnacentral:rRNA from 1 species
AGGUAGGGAUACCCGCUGAACUUAAGCAUAUCAAUAAGCGGAGGAAAAGAAACCAACAGGGAUUGCCUCAGUAACGGCGAGUGAAGCGGCAAAAGCUCAGAUUUGAAAUCUGGUGUUAUAUUUUGACACCCGAGUUGUAAUCUGUAGAGGAGUGUUCGGAGUAUGACUUUGGUUAAAGUUCCUUGGAAAAGGGCAUCAUAGAGGGUGAGAAUCCUGUUUAUGACCAUAGUACUUCUCUAUAUGAAUCUCCUUCAAUGAGUCGAGUUGUUUGGGAAUGCAGCUCUAAAUGGGUGGUAAAUUCCAUCUAAAGCUAAAUAUUGGCAAGAGACCGAUAGCGCACAAGUAGAGUGAUCGAAAGAUGAAAAGAACUCUGAACAGAGAGUUAAAAAGUACGUGAAAUUGUUGAAAGGGAAGCACUUGUGACCAGACAUAUUUGCAAUUAAUCAGCCAUCAAUUUUGGUGGUGCACUUGAUUGUAAGUGGGUCAGCAUCAGUUAUAGCAGUGGGACAAAGACGCAAAGAAUGUGGCUCCUCUUUCGAGGAGUGUUAUAGCUUUGAGUUGAAUACUGCUUGCUAUAACUGAG